rnacentral:rRNA from 1 species
UACGGGGGGGGCAAGCGUUGUUCGGAAUUACUGGGCGUAAAGGGCGCGUAGGCGGCCUGCUAAGUCGGAUGUGAAAUCCCUCGGCUCAACCGAGGAACUGCAUCCGAUACUGGCGGGCUUGAAUCCGGGAGAGGGACACGGAAUUCCGGGUGGAGUGGUGAAAUGCGUAGAGAUCCGGAGGAACACCGAAGGCGAAGGCAGUGUCCUGGCUGGUGACUGACGCUGAGGUGCGAAAGCUAGGGGAGCGAACGGG